GACGAACGCUGGCGGCGUGCUUAACACAUGCAAGUCGAGCGAUGAAAUUCCUUCGGGAAUGAAUUAGCGGCGGACGGGUGAGUAACACGUGGGUAACCUGCCUCGUAGAGGGGAAUAGCCUUCCGAAAGGAAGAUUAAUACCGCAUAAGAUUGUAGUAUCGCAUGAUAUAGCAAUUAAAGGAGCAAUCCGCUAUGAGAUGGACCCGCGUCGCAUUAGCUAGUUGGUGAGGUAACGGCUCACCAAGGCGACGAUGCGUAGCCGACCUGAGAGGGUGAUCGGCCACAUUGGGACUGAGACACGGCCCAGACUCCUACGGGAGGCAGCAGUGGGGAAUAUUGCACAAUGGGGGAAACCCUGAUGCAGCAACGCCGCGUGAGUGAUGACGGUCUUCGGAUUGUAAAACUCUGUCUUCAGGGACGAUAAUGACGGUACCUGAGGAGGAAGCCACGGCUAACUACGUGCCAGCAGCCGCGGUAAAAC
rnacentral:rRNA from 1 species